UCUCAUCUUCUUUGUCUCACCAUUUCCUCUCCAUUUUCCUUAGUUACCAUUUCCUACACCAAUUCCUUCACCCAUUCCAUCUUUUUUGUCUCUCCAUUUCCUUUCCAUUUUUCUUUCCAUUCUCUAGUUCUUAGUUCUGCAUUUUUAAGCAAAGAGAAGAAGAGAAGAAGAAGCCAUGAAGCCUCCUAGCAGCCAUCAUCCACCUUGUGCCGUGAUAGUGAAGUCUUGCUUUAAAGAUUCAAGAUCAACGUCUCAAGCUCUUCAUCAUCCACUCCCUUCAUGGUAUUUGUAG
rnacentral:lncRNA from 1 species